AUAGCGUAUAUUAAAGUUGUUGCAGUUAAAAAGCUCGUAGUUGGAUUUCUGGGAGGGUGCCAAUGUCCGCUUGUUGCGUGUGCAGCGGCGCCCUUCCAUCCUUCUGUUAACCUUUCUUGGUAUUAACUUACUGGUUGGGGGCUCAGAUAUUUUACCUUGAGAAAAUUAGAGUGUUUAAGGCAGGCUUGUGCCCGAAUACAUUAGCAUGGAAUAAUAGAAUAGGACUUUGGUCUCCUUUGUUGGUUUGAGGGACUAGAGUAAUGAUUAAUAGGGACAGUUGGGGGCAUUAGUAUUUAAUUGUCAGAGGUGAAAUUCUCGGAUUUGUUAAAGACUAACUUAUG
rnacentral:rRNA from 1 species